CCUACGGGAGGCAGCAGUAGGGAAUCUUCCGCAAUGGACGAAAGUCUGACGGAGCAACGCCGCGUGAGUGAAGAAGGUCUUCGGAUCGUAAAGCUCUGUUGUUAGGGAAGAACAAGUAUCGGAGGAAAUGCCGGUACCUUGACGG
rnacentral:rRNA from 1 species